AUUGAACGCUGGCGGCAUGCCUUACACAUGCAAGUCGAACGGCAGCACGGGAGCAAUCCUGGUGGCGAGUGGCGAACGGGUGAGUAAAGUAUCGGAACGUGCCCAGUCGUGGGGGAUAACGUAGCGAAAGUUACGCUAAUACCGCAUACGAUCUAUGGAUGAAAGCGGGGGAUCGCAAGACCUCGCGCGUUUGGAGCGGCCGAUAUCAGAUUAGCUAGUUGGUGGGGUAAAGGCCCACCAGGGCGACGAUCUGUAGCUGGUCUGAGAGGACGACCAGCCACACUGGAACUGAGACACGGUCCAGACUCCUACGGGAGGCAGCAGUGGGGAAUUUUGGACAAUGGGCGCAAGCCUGAUCCAGCAAUGCCGCGUGCAGGAUGAAGGCCUUCGGGUUGUAAACUGCUUUUGUACGGAACGAAACGGCCCUUUCUAAUACAGGGGGCUAAUGACGGUACCGUAAGAAUAAGCACCGGCUAACUACGUGCCAGCCGCCGCCGUAA
rnacentral:rRNA from 1 species